rnacentral:rRNA from 1 species
GACGAACGCUGGCGGCGUGCUUAACACAUGCAAGUCGAGCGGUAAGGCCCUUCGGGUACGACGAGCGGCGAACGGGUGAGUAACACGUGGGUGACCUGCCCUUAGCUCUGGGAUAAGCCUGGGAAACUGGGUCUAAUACCGGAUAUGACCCCAUGACGCAUGUUGUGGGGUGGAAAGCCUUGUGCGGCUAGGGAUGGGCCCGC